CACGAACGCUGGCGGCAGGCUUAACACAUGCAAGUCGAGCGCCCCGCAAGGGGAGCGGCAGACGGGUGAGUAACGCGUGGGAAUCUACCCAUCUCUACGGAAUAACGCAUGGAAACGUGUGCUAAUACCGUAUACGUCCUUCGGGAUAAAGAUUUAUCGGAGAUGGAUGAGCCCGCGUUGGAUUAGCUAGUUGGUGGGGUAAAGGCCUACCAAGGCGACGAUCCAUAGCUGGUCUGAGAGGAUGAUCAGCCACACUGGGACUGAGACACGGCCAGACUCCUACGGGAGGCAGCAGUGGGGAAUAUUGGACAAUGGGCGCAAGCCUGAUCCAGCCAUGCCGCGUGAGUGAUGAAGGCCCUAGGGUUGUAAAGCUCUUUCACCGGUGAAGAUAAUGACGGUAACCGGAGAAGAAGCCCCGGCUAACUUCGUGCCAGCAGCCGCAGUAAGAC
rnacentral:rRNA from 1 species